UUUUAAUCUUUGAGUUGUUAGGAUACAAGUGGUACAACUUGAUAAUUCUAAAACUCUAUUUAUUUAACUUAUUUAUUUUAUUUUAUUUAUUUAUUCAUUUAUUUAUUUUAAUGAACUAAUCUAAAAUCGACCUAUUUAUUAGAUGUAACUCUUUUUUAUCUCUGAGUUGUUAAAACACAAGUUGUACUACUUGGUGGUUUUGAAACUCAAUUUAAAAAUCGAGAAUAAUAAAAUAUUUUUUUUAGAGGAUUAAAUUAGAUGUGACAUCU
rnacentral:lncRNA from 1 species